UGAAUACGAGACGCUAAGGCGUCGAAGUAGUGUAUGUCAUACUUCCAAGAAAAGCUUGCACUGUCAUAGAUAAAAAACGCCUGUACCAUAACCGACACAGGUGGGUAGGUAGAGUAUACUAAGGGGCGCGAGAUAACUCUCUCUAAGGAACUCGGCAAAAUAACUCCGUAACUUCGGGAGAAGGAGUGCCUUAUUCGUAAGGUUGCAAUAACAAGAUCCAAGCAACUGUUUAUCAAAAACACAGGUCUCCGCUAAGUCGUAAGACGAUGUAUGGGGGCUGACGCCUGCCCAGUGCCAGAAGGUUAAAGAAGUUGGUUAGCAAUUGCGAAGCUGAUAACUGAAGCCCUGGUGAACGGCGGCCGUAACUAUAACGGUCCUAAGGUAGCGAAAUUCCUUGUCGGGUAAGUUCCGACCCGCACGAAAGGCGUAAUGAUUUGGAUACUGUCUCGGAGAGGGGCUCGGUGAAAUAGACUUGUCUGUGAAGAUGCGGACUACCUGCACCAGGACAGAAAGACCCUAUGAAGCUUUACUGUAACUUGAAAUUGAAAUUGGACUUUAUUCGCGCAGUAUAGGUGGGAGGCGUUGAUUAUAAUCUUGUGGGAUUAUUGGAGCCAUCAGUGAGAUACCACUCUUGUAAUGUUAGAUUUCUAACUUUGAAUCAUUAUCUGGUCAAAGAACAGUUUCAGGCGGGCAGUUUGACUGGGGCGGUCGCCUCCUAAACGGUAACGGAGGCGUACAAAGGUUUCCUCUGAACGGUUAGAAAUCGUAUCUAGAGUGUAAAGGCAUAAGGAAGCUUGACUGUGAGACCUACAAGUCGAGCAGGGACGAAAGUCGGUCUUAGUGAUCUGACGGUACUGAGUGGAAAGGCCGUCACUCAACGGAUAAAAGUUACUCUAAGGAUAACAGGCUGAUCUCCCCCAAGAGUUCACAUCGACGGGGAGGUUUGGCACCUCGAUGUCGGCUCAUCGCAUCCUGGGGCGGUAGUACGUCCCAAGGGUUGGGCUGUUCGCCCAUGAAAGCGGUACGCGAGCUGGGUUCAGAACGUCGUGAGACAGUUCGGUCCAUAUCCGGUGUAGGCGUUAGAAUAUUGAGAGGAGCCUUCUUUAGUACGAGAGGACCGAGAAGGACAUACCUCUGGUGUACCAGUUAUCGUGCCAACGGUAAACGCUGGGUAGCUAUGUAUGGAGUGGAUAACCGCUGAAAGCAUCUAAGUGGGAAGCCCACCUCAAGAUAAGUAUUCCC
rnacentral:rRNA from 1 species